rnacentral:rRNA from 1 species
UUUUGGACAAUGGGCGCAAGCCUGAUCCAGCCAUGCCGCGUGAGUGAAGAAGGCCUUCGGGUUGUAAAGCUCUUUCGGCGGGGACGAAACGGUUCGUGCUAAUACCACGGACUACUGACGGUACCCGCAGAAGAAGCACCGGCUAACUACGUGCCAGCAGCCGCGGUAAUACGUAGGGUGCAGGCGUUAAUCGGAAUUACUGGGCGUAAAGCGUGCGCAGGCGGUUUGUUAAGACAGGUGUGAAAUCCCCGGGCUUAACCUGGGAAUUGCGCUUGUAACUGGCAGACUGGAGUGUGGUAGAGGGGGGUGGAAUUCCAAGUGUAGCAGUGAAAUGCGUAGAUAUUUGGAGGAACACCGAUGGCGAAGGCAGCCCCCUGGGCUAACACUGACGCUUAUGCACGAAA